GGGCCCGCACAAGCGGAGGAGCAUGUGGUUUAAUUCGAUGAUACGCGAGGAACCUUACCCGGGCUUGAACGUAAUACUGAUAACAAGGAAACUUGUUAGCCUACGGGAGUAUUGCGAGGUGCUGCAUGGUUGUCGUCAGCUCGUGCCGUGAGGUGUUAGGUUAAGUCCUGCAACGAGCGCAACCCUUACCCUUAGUUGCCAGCAUGUAAAGAUGGGGACUCUAUGGGAACUGCCUACGCAAGUAGAGAGGAAGGUGGGGAUGACGUCAAAUCAGCACGGCCCUUAUGUUCGGGGCUACACACGUGCUACAAUGGCAUGUACAGAGGGCAGCAAAUACGCAAGUAUGAGCCCAAUCCUCAAAACAUGUCUCAGUUCGGAUUGGAGUCUGUAACUCGACUCUAUGAAGUUGGAUUCGCUAGUAAUCGCGCAUCAGCCAUGGCG
rnacentral:rRNA from 1 species